AUGUGGCAUAUUCGGGUGCCCUUGAAACUUCAUAUGUUUGUCUGCCGCUUAGCAAGGCAAUCGAUGCCUACCGGAGAAGUACUCAACCACCGUAAUACUGCCGACAAGGAUACUUGUUGUUUGUGUGGUGCACGGGGUACAUGGAUGCACGCUCUCUUCACUUGUCCCAUGUCAAGGAGAGGCCGGGCCCUUGCGGUUGAGGAGUUAGUCGAGAAGAUCAUUGAUCACAUGGAAGGAAGUCCGAAGGAGUGGCUCUUUGCUCUACAUGAAAUACUAGAGGCUGACCUUUGCUCGUUUGGUCGUGACCGCAUGUGCAAUAUGGGGAGCUAG
rnacentral:rRNA from 1 species